UAGCUAAAGUGCUCUAAAGCGUUUCCCAUUCAUUCUCUAUGGUAGUGCUAAACCACUACGGAUGCAAUAUAUGUACUGCCACGCAUGGACUCCGUGGCGCUGUUGCACAUUUUACGCAAGAGUUGGGGAGGAGAAGAGCGUGCUUCAGCCGAAUUACACUGAACCACAACAAACACCCGGGACCAAGUUAUCUGAGCCUGAUGGACUUUAUUUUCUCAUAUUAUGUGAAUCCUUUUAAAUUUCAGAUUUUGAUCCGAUCAUUUCUUUAUCACACUACUUCAUCGUUGAUCGGAUACUUCUGUCACAUUACUGUCACGUUUGCUACAGUAGCGGUUUUAGGUACAUCAGAUACGCGACAGCUUCCAGUUCAUAAGCAAUGCCAAAGUCUCAGUGACCCUGAAUGGGAGGAUGGGAUUCUGUACAGGUAUGGUGACACAUUGCAACUCAACCAUGUCCAGGGUGAAGGGGCAUCUGUGACCAUCUGGA